AGAAAGAAAUGAAGUUCAAUGGAGCUAAAAAACAUAUCCCCUGCACAGGAAUGAACUCUAGCUGCAUUCCAAGGAUGUCCUGCAGAGGAUAUAAUAUUUGAAAGUUGAGAAGUUCAGAAUGCUACCUUGAAAGUACUAUGAAGAAUAAUAAGUCUGCAGCAAACAGGCAAACAGAAACAGAUUCAGGGUAUAAUGUCUUAUCAAGGCAUGGUCCUUGAUCUACUUGGAGUUGGAUUUUGUGCAGUAACAGAGGUAUCACUAUAAGCCAAUGCCUUUGGAAUAGCCUUUUAAUUGAUGCUGUUAGAAAAAU